GCAGUCGUGACCGUGUGGUUAAGGCGAUGGACUAGAAAUCCAUUGGGGUCAUCCCCGCACAGGUUCGAAACCUGUCGACUGCG
rnacentral:tRNA from 1 species